UACGUAGGGUGCGAGCGUUAAUCGGAAUUAUUGGGCGUAAAGCGCGCGCAGGCGGUCCUUUAAGUCUGAUGUGAAAGCCCACGGCUCAACCGUGGAGGGUCAUUGGAAACUGGGGGACUUGAGUGCAGGAGAGAAGAGUGGAAUUCCACGUGUAGCGGUGAAAUGCGUAGAUAUGUGGAGGAACACCUGUGGCGAAAGCGGUUUUCUAGCUUACACCUGACGCUGAGGCGCGAAAGCAAGGGGAGCAAACAGG
rnacentral:rRNA from 1 species